CGACAGCAGAAAACUGCCCGGA
rnacentral:miRNA from 1 species